CGGAGGAGGUGGGUGAAGUCAAGCGUGACGCUACAAAACACAAACAGGUUCCUGUUAGGAGCCCAAGCAGCCGUGAAAAAGGAUGGCAGAAGAAAAAAAUAAGUCUCUAUACGGACUGUGAGCUGGGCCGUCUCUCUCUAUCCUAACCUUCGUCGGUUGAAUGUAGAGCAGCUGAAGACCCAUAUGGAUUUUUGCCCGGAGCCACGUGAGCUGAACUCAAAAAGCGCUUGUCAGAAAAGUCUGCAAAAAGGAAUGUGUGAAAGUAAGAAAGGAAGACUGUAGGGUGGACAUAAAUCUCCAAAAAGGAACAUCUGACACAAACAAGGGCCGAUGUUCUCCUCUUGGUCAAAACACAAAGAAAGUUUAAUGAUCAAACAGUUGCCUUGUUUGCCAAGUAGUUGGAUGUUUCACUUGACUGGCCUGCAAGAAGGAUGAAUAUUUUACCGAGCAUAACCACCAUCUCUUUCUCCAUCAGCAUCUCUGACAUGCAAACGAACAAGAAGAUCAUGUUCACAUGGGCGAAGUGAGGUACAUUCAUCCCUGCACGUCGGAACAUGUGCGCCCUUGAACUUGUGCACUUGGCAUACGCACACACCCUGUGCUCAGUAGCUUUGGCAUUUUAUGGUGUGAAAGAGUGACAUAUUUGGUCUGGAAAUAGAUCUAAGAGAGCGAGUGACAAAACCGUCACAAAGUGAUGCAUUUACCGACUGUCCUGGCGUCCAUAUGGUGACACGUUUCAAUGACAACAUGUGGACUGCUGAUAUCUGUGAGCAAGUGGAAUAUAUUCUGUGUAGCACCUCGAAUAAAUACAUGAAAUUACACUGACUUCUCUAAUGGUUCGGCAAAAGCUCUCCAUGCACAAUGCAGGUGAUGUGUGCUUGAUCGGCUGGCCUAAAAUUACACACAUUCCUCUUGAAUUUUGUUUUCUGGAAAGAUUAUGCACCUGUGUUCUUUUGUCAUGAAGGGUGCAUGAUGCGUGUGACUGAUGCAUUUGUGUUUACGGAAAUACUCUUUGAAUGUGGGUGUGUGUAUUUGUGUAUAUGCGGUUUCCUCCAGAGGGGUAUCCGUGUGCCAUCUGGCAGCUCAGGAGGAUGAGGAAGCUGGGGGGGCUUCCCGUUAUGAUGG